rnacentral:ncRNA from 1 species
UUAAAAUAUAGGAAAUUAGAAAAGUAGUAGAUGCAUUUGUUUUUAGCGAGCUUGUGGUUGGUGGAAAUAAGCAGCAAAUCUUUACGAAAUUGGGCUAAUUGAUAAAAUGAAUUUGAAACAAUAAGAAUUCGGUAGGCACACCUUACAGUGCAGCUUGUUUGAUGACAAGAUAGAGACAUGGGAAAUAUUUGCUAUUUUCCAUAAUUGAGGUGGCACCGCGAUUUACGCCCUCACA